AACGAACGCUGGCGGCAGGCUUAACACAUGCAAGUCGAACGGUUGUAGCAAUACAGCAGUGGCAGACGGGUGAGUAACACGUGGGAACCUUCCUAGGGGUACGGAACAACUCAGGGAAACUUGAGCUAAUACCGUAUACGUCCGUGAGGAGAAAGAUUUAUCGCCCUUAGACGGGCCCGCGUAGGAUUAGGUAGUUGGUGGGUAAUGGCCUACCAAGCCUACGAUCCUUAGCUGAUCUGAGAGGANGAUCAGCCACACUGGGACUGAGACACGGCCCAGACUCCUACGGGAGGCAGCAGUGGGGAAUCUUGGACAAUGGGCGCAAGCCUGAUCCAGCCAUGCCGCGUGAGUGAAGAAGGCCCUUGGUUGUAAGUACUCUUUACC
rnacentral:rRNA from 1 species